CACCCUUCUACCACUUAUGAUACAAGAAAUCAGGGAUGGGUCCACCCAUGAUGGCUGAUGGGGCCCAAAAGAAUAGUUGGGUCGGCCAAUUUGUUCCUCUCCGUCUCUCUCAGUUUGGUGAAGUAUUGCCUGCACUGCAUGCAUGAUGUGACCGUACACACAGUCAGUCAACACAAGGACAGCUAAUUUUUAUGGGCAAGCAUGUAUUUUUGUGUACGAUUAUAAAAACCACCGAUCAUGAUNNNNNNNNNNNNNNNNNNNNAUAUAUAUAUAUAUAUAUAUAUAUGAUUAUAUUGAUGCAUAUAAUAUAGAUAAUAAUUUGCUCUUAAACUGACCUCUCCAGCAAACUAAUUCAGGAUAUUAUGGUAGAAUUUUAUCUCGAAAUCGAAUUGACUGGAUGGUGACGGC
rnacentral:lncRNA from 1 species